AUGACAAGGAAGAUCCAGUUGAGGAUAAACCUUCCGAAAUACAAUCCAAACGCCGGCGUCAGCGGCGCCGCUCUAAGUCACGCACAAGAUGAACAAGAUGAACGGGAAGGCAGGCAGGUUAGCCCCGGUAAACAGGCCAUGCACGAAGACUCGGAGGGCGAUAACUACCUUCCGCUCUCCGAGGAUGAGGUGAGACUCGACACCAAGGAUUUCAUCGUGCCUGAGGAACCUCUUGAGCAGGAGCGCUUCAAGCGCCAGCUAAUUGCCACUGCAAGGAGCCUGAAAAAGAAGCAACAACAGCUUCAAGCUAACCAAGAUCUGCUCAAUGAUAAAUGGACCGAUGUCCUAGUAGCCGAAGAGUAUGGCCUCAAGCGCCCAACCAAAAGCUACCCAAAGCGCAAAUUGCUACCUCAGUUUGAUGAGGAGGCGCCGAACUACAUACAUCCAUCGUACAAUGUAGUUGACCGACCACCACGUGGUCGAGACAAAACAUCAACUCACACCGAAUACCAGCCAGCCCUGCCUUAG
rnacentral:rRNA from 1 species